rnacentral:rRNA from 1 species
CGAAAGCCUGACGGAGCAACGCCGCGUGAGGGAGGAAGGCCCUUGGGUUGUAAACCUCUUUUGUUAGGGAAGAAGAAAGUGACGGUACCUAACGAAUAAGCAUCGGCUAACUCCGUGCCAGCAGCCGCGGUAAUACGGAGGAUGCAAGCGUUAUCCGGAAUCAUUGGGCGUAAAGAGUCCGUAGGUGGCUAAUCAAGUCCGAAGUUAAAGACAGAAGCUAAACUUCUGGAAAGCAGCGGAAACUGAAGAGCUAGAGUGUAGGAGAGGUAGAGGGAAUUCCCAGUGUAGCGGUGAAAUGCGUAGAGAUUGGGAAGAACACCAGUGGCGAAGGCGCUCUACUGGACUAAAACUGACACUGAGGGACGAAAGCUAGGGUAGCG